UCUGGUCUGUAUCUGAUGUUCCACUCUAAUAGCUUGGACAGUGUUUGUGUCGGGCAGAUAAGGAGUCAGACGAGGACCUUCUCUGAACAUCUUUCUACUCCCUAGAAAGUGCAAUGGAAGGUUUGACUGAACAUUUAUUUGGGCAGCAGGCAGAAUAUUCCACCUUCUGCUCUUGGAUACCAGUUGUCUCCAGCCUUCACCCUACACAUGCAACCACACUGGACAGUCCCAUGACGAUGUCUGUCCAGCUCAGAGCCAAGAUACAGAGCUGGGGUCUCCACUGGUGCCCAAGGCCUGCCCAGAGACUACUAGAACCCAAUGUCACAGGAGGCACACCCAGAUUCUUGUACUCAUGUUACCUAAACCUGAAACCCUCGAAGUACUUAAAGAGAUGUCAGCAAAAGAGCUAUUUGUGGUUUUCACUUGCUUUUAUUUAAGUCAACUUUACCAUACAGCUCAGACUGGAGUU